rnacentral:rRNA from 1 species
UACCUCCACAAGAAACCCCGGCCAAAUACGUGCCAGCAGCCGCGGUAAUACGUAGGGGGCGAGCGUUGUCCGGAUUUAUUGGGCGUAAAGCGCUCGUAGGCGGUUCAACAAGUCGGUCGUGAAAGUUCAGGGCUCAACCCUGAAAUGCGAUCGAUACUGUUGGACUAGGAUACGGUAGAGGUGAGUGGAAUUCCGAGUGUAGCGGUGAAAUGCGUAGAUAUUCGGAGGAACACCACCUGCGAAGGCAGCUCACUGGACCGCUAUCGACGCUGAGGAGCGAAAGCUAGGGGAGCAAACAGGAUU